ACGGCAGCGCGAGAGAGCUUGCUCUCUUGGCGGCGAGUGGCGGACGGGUGAGUAAUAUAUCGGAACGUGCCCNGUAGCGGGGGAUAACUACUCGAAAGAGUGGCUAAUACCGCAUACGCCCUACGGGGGANAGGGGGGGAUCGCAAGACCUCUCACUAUUGGAGCGGCCGAUAUCGGAUUAGCUAGUUGGUGGGGUAAAGGCUCACCAAGGCAACGAUCCGUAGCUGGUUUGAGAGGACGACCAGCCACACUGGGACUGAGACACGGCCCAGACUCCUACGGGAGGCAGCAGUGGGGAAUUUUGGACAAUGGGGGAAACCCUGAUCCAGCCAUCCCGCGUGUAUGAUGAAGGCCUUCGGGUUGUAAAGUACUUUUGGCAGAGAAGAAAAGGUACCUCCUAAUACGAGGUACUGCUGACGGUAUCUGCAGAAUAAGCACCGGCUAACUACGUGCCAGCAGCCGCGGUAAUACGUAGGGUGCNAGCGUUAAUCGGAAUUACUGGGCGUAAAGCGUGUGUAGGCGGUUCGGAAAGAAAGAUGUGAAAUCCCAGGGCUCAACCUUGGAACUGCAUUUUUAACUGCCGAGCUAGAGUAUGUCANAGGGGGGUAGAAUUCCACGUGUAGCAGUGAAAUGCGUAGAUAUGUGGAGGAAUACCGAUGGCGAAGGCAG
rnacentral:rRNA from 1 species